GUGAAUCAUCAAAUUUUUGAACGCAAAUUGCACUCUCCGGUUUUCCGGGAGGGUAUGCCUGUUUGAGGGCCUGUUUAAAAAAUAAUCGAGGCUGCCGCGGUGGUGGCUCUGCGGAAGUGGGUCAUCUUUCACCUUGCGGUUGUAAGCGACCGAAAAUUUUUUUUACGAUUUCUACGAACGCGUCUAAGAAUUUCUUGUACGUUCACGAGAUCGAA
rnacentral:misc_RNA from 1 species